rnacentral:rRNA from 17 species
CCUGACGACCAUAGCGAGUUGGUCCCACUCCUUCCCAUCCCGAACAGGACAGUGAAACGACUUUGCGCCGAUGAUAGUGAGGGUUCCCGUGUGAAAGUAGGUCAUCGUCAGG